UAGUCAUAUGCUUGUCUCAAAGACUAAGCCAUGCAUGUCUAAGUAUAAACACCUUUAUACUGCGAAACUGCGAACGGCUCAUUAUAUCAGUUAUAAUCUACUUGAUCGUAUCCUCUUACUUGGAUAACCGUAGUAAUUCUAGAGCUAAUACAUGCAAAAGUUCCCGACUGGUGACGGAAGGGAAGUAUUUAUUAGGUCCAAAAUCAAUGCUGGCCAUUCCAAACUGGGUGGGUCAAACUGCCUGGGGUCAGGAAAGUUGAUGAUUCAUAAUAACUAAA
rnacentral:rRNA from 1 species